CCCAUUUAGUACUACUAAAUUGUAAAUUUCAACAUACUAAAACGCUGUUUUCUGACCAUCACUAUUCUGUCAAAUCUUCCACCAAAGACCAGGAAAUGGCAUUUCAGAGAUUCUAAAUUUAAAAAUUUCCUCGAGCCUUCGGCCUCGCUUUCCGCCCCGAAAAGAGCUUCCUACGGCCCUGCCUUAAAAGAGACCAAGCAAUGCAUGAAGCUAAAAACUCAACGUUAACUAUAUAAUUAAAGAAUCUAAAUAGUAUAAGCAUUGAAAAAAAAUGCUGCGAAAGAGAGUGGCAAAAGAAAAAUCGUACAUGGUGUUGGGACAGAAAAAAAAACUUGCACAUAACGAUCCCAGAAAAAACAAUUCCCUGCCAGCAGUAAAUCACCCUCACCCUCCCCCCCUCGAAAGUUAAAUGGUCGGCCCCUAACUGUAUUAGCUACAAGUAAUGAAAUAUCCGUUAUACAGCAAAAUGUUAACGAACAUUGCCCCCCCCCCCCAAGGGUCAAGAGUAAGUGCCCUUUUUAAAUGGCUGCCCCCGCCGCUUCAUG